GUCUCCCACACACUCUCUCUCUCUCAGACGCCGAAAACCUCCUCACUGUCUCAUCUCUACCACUACCCACAAACCCACAACCAUAGCCGCCACCACCACCACCUCCCAAGCCCCAACCAUAGCCACCACGACCACCCAAAAAUCGAGCCUAGUUAGGUCCAAAAACAAAUGGGUCAGGUCUAGCCCGACCCAUUUGUCUUAUCGUUUCUAACCCUAACGGUUCACGCCCCUAAUCUAGAACCUUCCCUCGUUUUGCUAUCUCAUCCGAGCUCUCUUGACAGAAACCCAUGGCUUGAGCGACCUGAUCUCAUCACCUCAAACCGGCAUUGCCACCAUAGGAGGCGGCUUGCUCCUCAGCAAAAAGCCUUAUCGAGAUUCCUAUUUCUUUUUUCUGUUUAUUGUUAUCGAAACCCUAAUUUCUUGUUUGGUACACCGCAGGACCGAAGGCACCGAUUGACGCUUCGCGAGACAUUCAUCGCUCUGUCUAUCUCUCACUCGCGGCUAGGGAUUUAGAGGAAAUUCAAGGGCUGUUGAGUGAGGUCGAUGGCACUGUAAAGCCUUCACUUUCUCAGAGAUUGCAAAGCCAGUGUCUCUGCAAACAGCAAGUUCUAAAUACCCAUCAACGAUUCUAGUGUCUCUGCUAAAAAGGUAAAG